AGGAGGCAGCAGUGGGGAAUAUUGGACAAUGGGCGAAAGCCUGAUCCAGCAAUGCCGCGUGGGUGAAGAAGGUCUUCGGAUUGUAAAGCCCUUUCGACGGGGACGAUGAUGACGGUACCCGUAGAAGAAGCCCCGGCUAACUUCGUGCCAGCAGCCGCGGUAAUACGAAGGGGGCUAGCGUUGCUCGGAUUGACUGGGCGUAAAGGGCGCGUAGGCGGUUCGUACAGUCAGACGUGAAAUUCCUGGGCUCAACCUGGGGGCUGCGUUUGAUACGUGCGGACUUGAGUGCGGAAGAGGGUCGUGGAAUUCCCAGUGUAGAGGUGAAAUUCGUAGAUAUUGGGAAGAACACCGGUGGCGAAGGCGGCGACCUGGUCCGAUACUGACGCUGAGGCGCGAAAGCGUGGGGAGCAAACAGGAUUAGAUACCCCUGUAGUCCG
rnacentral:rRNA from 1 species